GUCAUUGGUCAUGUGCAUGUGUUCUGACAGAAUCAGAAUCAGAAUAAUAAAUAAGGAAGGCUACACCGGCAAGGUCCAGCUUGGGAUAUGACUGAUUCCAUUGAUUUGGAGGCAGAGGAAAGGCUUUGUGAAAGUGAUGGUGAAGAAUCGGAUGGAUCUAGAUUGAAAAGCGUAAAAAGUCAGAUCUAAAGAUGACUAUGAUGACCGUUUGGAAGACGAUGACUAUGAUCUAUUGGAAGAAAAUCUUGGACACAAAAUAUCCAGGAGGAAACAUUUCAAGAGAUUGCGUCGAAUCGAGUAUGAUGAGUCAGGAGAUGAAAAAGGCCAAGAAGAUGAAGAAAGAAUGGUGAAGACCUCUACAACUCAAAACGGGUAUGAUACUUGGAGCUUCAUUUUGCUCUUGCCUCUGUUGUUUUACUGAGUAUAAACGGAUACUUGC
rnacentral:lncRNA from 1 species